AUGAAACUUCAGCGACAGAUUUAUUCUUUACUCCUUUUCUGCAGCAAGGACACACACACAAGAGGGGAGCACAACCUAGAGGAAUCGUAUUCGUGUAAUCAAUCUCAAUCUUCUUUUACUAUUCUGAGUUCUUUUUCCAGCAGAAGGUGGAAAGUGCACGUAGGGGGGAUAAAACAGGGCCAGGGAAGAGCCGCCCAGAAUUUUUCUCCCCUUCCCUUCAGACCCUUGGAAGGGAAGAUGCGAGACACCAUCCAUGAGUCAAAAGACAGGGAGGUGGGCUGGAAAAGAGACCGGGCAAGCUAUGAAAAUCGUUGUGCAUUUCCCCUUCUCGACGGAUCUUCGCUUCCCUUGCUUUGCAAACAUUAGCAAAGGAUCACGGCUUCCUUUUUGAGAUUUUGGAGAGCAAAGAGAGAGACCUCGCUAGCCACCUCCUUUCCCAGGGAAAAUUGUUGCUCCGCCGCCCCAGUCUUUGCAAAACUUUCACAUCUUGCUGGAAAAGGACGUGGCCAGCCUCGGNNNNNNNNNNNNNNNNNNNNNNNNNNAAGCGCGGGGCCCCCCCCCCCAGGCAAGCUUUUUUUUUUUUCCAGCCAGGAGGCGCCCUCCCCCGUAGAGUCAAAAAAGGUCCCCCGUAAUCCCCAAGGGAGGGGGGAGGAAAAAAAAUCCAGAAAGGAAGAAAAUCAAGGGGAGGCUCGGAAGAAACACCCCGUCAUCAAGGCUUCCCACGGCGAGGACCCACCAGCUAAGCCGCAAAGACGAGAGGGAGAAGCAGGCGGAUACCCAGCCCCAGCCAGGUUCUCUCCAACCCCGUAGAGUCAAAAAAGGUCCCCCGUAAUCCCCAAGGGAGGGGGGAGGAAAAAAAAUCCAGAAAGGAAGAAAAUCAAGGGGAGGCUCGGAAGAAACACCCCGUCAUCAAGGCUUCCCACGGCGAGGACCCACCAGCUAAGCCGCAAAGACGAGAGGGAGAAGCAGGCGGAUACCCAGCCCCAGCCAGGUUCUCUCCAAAAAACUUCAGCAUCUCUCUCCUCCACCCCCCCUCCCUCUCCCCGCAACCGCGCCGCCAGCUCCAGCCUUACUUACCGGCGGCUGAUGUGGCCAAAACCCCCACCGACAGCAGCAGAAUCCGACUCCAGUAGCUCACCUCCACCGUCAUGAGAGCAAAGAUUCCCAGUUCCCCCAAAUGCCGUUUAAAGCUGCAGUGGCAUGCCGGCGCGUCCCAAACGAGAGCAGGCUGCAUGUCAA
rnacentral:lncRNA from 1 species